rnacentral:lncRNA from 1 species
AGGUACCAUUGGAUUCCUUGGAUCAAGACGAAUUCAACACACCCUAUGGCGUCAAUUUCCGGUUAUAUAGAUUUUCCGCAAUUUCCGGUUUUAUCAAAAACCUUUGAAAGGCAUCAACUCCUACAAUUUUUGUCAAAUCUUCUUCAAAAUCACCAGAGAUGAUCUUCAGACCAAGCUUCACAAAAGUUCUUCAACAGAAUUUUGAUCCUCACAACCGUUUGUCCGGUACAGCCACUGAAUUUCAGCAGAAAAGCCAUCAAACAGGAAGUGAAGUCAUAUCUCAGCAAAUCUUUCAGAUAUCAACGCCAAACUUGGUAUGCACGUGGAAGACACUACAACAUGUUCCCAUGUGCAAAUGCAACUUCAUAUCUUCAAAAAUGAUUGAUAUAAAGCAUUUAUAUUGCAGUGUAAAAAUGUGGCACUAUUUGCCCUAAACGGGCGCCAUCUUGGCUACGUCGCGAAAGAGGAGGAGCUGUUUCAUCAGCUUUUCAAUUCAUUUCUAAAACAAUGGCGGACGAGAUGGCUACGGUGGCUAGCAAUAGCUCACGAGGCUGCAGACCGUAAAUGCCAAAGAAAAGGACUCACUCUGAAGACUUUUCCAAACAACACUUUGAACAGGUUUCCCCAUCUCCUCCCAUACCAUGGGCCAGAGGAGCACGACCACCUGGGUGAGGAGUUUCUAAAUUAUCAGACCAUGCCAACCACCUCCCUUCAGGACGAAACUGAGAUGGAAAGCUUCUGGGCUGGAAUGGCAACACGGAAACAUAAGGUAUACUUUUUUUUGGCUUUCUUUUUGGCAGGUGUGGCUUGGCUACAUCUGUUGCUAUUAUUGAUGCAUGCCUAUAUCGUGUCAUACAUGAUGCAAACUAUGCAUGUUGUAUCUGAACUUUGUUACAGUGUACUUACAGUAUUAUUCAAAACAAAAUAUGGUAUGUUUUUCCAUUUUGUUCUUUGUUCAUUCUCAAUAGGUGGCAGGAACCAAAGAAUUUGAGAGGCUUGUUGCCGUCGCCAAGCUGGUCCUGGUGUUGCCCCAUUCGAAUGCAGAUGCUGAGAGGGUGUUUUCAGUGUUCAGUGGGACUGAACAAAACUAAGACCAGAAAUAGCCUGGCAUUGGAUGGCACCCUGUCUUCAAUAAUGGCCAUAAAGAUGGCCGACCUGGAGCCCUGUUUCAGAUGGGAGCCCCCCUCAGAGGUCAUCAAGGCCUCCAAGAAGGCCACAGGCCAGUACAACCCUGCCCACAGAUCUUAGAAAAUGACUAACCAGGUUCUGAUCUGCACCUGAUACCUCAUUUUAGUUAUUUUUGUCAUGUGUUGAUCUAUUUUAUUGCUUAAAAAGGCUACUGUUUAAGCACUUUAUUUGUUGCACUUUUUUGUUUGAUGGAACGUGUGGUGGGAGGCUUUGAAUAGUGAAAAAUAUUUCUCCCUAACUAAUCUUGUGUCAUUUUUUGCUGUUCAUAAAUCGUUAAGUGCUCUUAAAUGAAGUGCUCAUAAAUCAUUAAAUACAAUUAUUAACAAUAUAGGUUAGGUUCCAGUUAAGAAUUAGUUGAAUACCAUUGUAAUCAAAAUGUCAAUCAACCUACCUUGGUAAAAUCUUAAACACAGGUCUAUUAAUUAGGCUAUAUUGUGGUACAUAGACAGUCAUUGAGGCACAAGAAUAGUUUUCUGGUUGAAUGUUCAGCUCAAGUCUAAAAGGCCCUACAAGUCAUGAUCAGAUGAACAUGAAUCAGAAUAAGUUCAGGUAUUGCACAUCUUUAGCAUACCACCCAAAAAUCCACUAGAAUGCAGGAAAUAACAUCCACUUAAACCAAAAUGUCCUGGGGGUGGACCUUCAGCUAUGUCUUUGCUUCACAGAAUGUAACCAAUGUUGUCCAUCUCCAGUAGGCCCCACAUUAGGCAGACUUUGGGCCCCAAAAACCAACAGAAUGCAGAGCACAACAUGGGUACAACGCCAAAUUAAUUCCAAUUCCCUGAUAUCUGAGCCACCCAACGUGUGUAGCUGCGUGCGCGGCAACAUUUUCUCACUCCAAGGUUUUUUGAAAAGUUGGCAGCUCUGUGGUGACACGUUUUAGUACACUUUGCAGUGAGUGUGUUUGCCCUACAAUGCUAAAAAGUUGCAGUCAAAUUUGGCAAAAUUGCUAGCUUGGAUAUUAUCUUUACAUUUAGAUGGGUUGGUAGUUACAAACAAUGAGGAUGCGCAUGCAGCUUCAGGGCAGAACAAUGCCUACCAUUUCACCUUUACUGUAUAUGUUCCAUCCACCCCCCUUUCUGAAUAAAGUUCCAUUGAUCUGAUUUGUUGCUAUCUGU